GGGUGGCUAAGCUGGUAGACUGAGCUCCCUCAAUCUCCUGCCAAGCUCCCCUCCCCAUUCUGUGUCAAAGAAGACAAGUGUGAACUUCAGGGAGAGACCCAGAGUCCAAGACAUGCAUCUAUCUGCCUGCUAUAAUUGUUGAGCUGUCUGUAUCUGUACCGUGGGUACAGCGAGCAAUAAGACCCAGUUGGCACCAGCAGGCCAGAAGGUGAAGUACUCUUCAGGUCAGAGCGACGGAGCACAUCGUGAGGCCUUGAUGCUGUUUCCGGGGACAGCUGUGUGGAAACACCCGGAGGAGAGCUCUCACAUCUCUGGGACUGCAGACACAACUGCAGUCAGGAGCGAAAGACCAGGCCCAGGAGGCAGGGGUCCUGCUAUAAGUGGGGCCCUCCUCUGAGUGAGGCUGAGAUAGCCGGCACAGAUCUGGGGACACCAGGGUGGGCAGGGGCCCAAGCCUUGGGGUCCUUGAUGCAUCAGAAGCCAGGAUAAAGAAAGGGGCUCCGUUCCCUGAGCAGCAUGGAA